rnacentral:tRNA from 1 species
AGUGAGAUGGCUGAGGAUAGGCGAUAAAUUGUAAAUUUAUUAACGAAUUUUAAUUCUCUCACUAG